rnacentral:lncRNA from 1 species
CUCUGCCUCCCAGGUUCAAGCAAUUCUCCUGCCUCAGCCUCCUGAGUAGACGGGAUUACAGGCGUGCACCACCACACUCAGCUAAUUUUUUUCUGUUUUUAAUAAAGAUGGGGUUUCACCAUAUUGGCCAGGCUGGUCUCGAACUCCUGACCUUGUGAUCUGCCCACCUUGGACUCCCAAAGUGCUGGGAUUACAGGUGUGAGCCACUGUGCCAGGCCAAAAAAACAUACUUUUAUUUAUAGCCUGUAGCUUCAGGUUGAGAAACUGUGUAGGCAUUUAGUGGAGAUGAAAUUUACUGACAAUUAAAUCAGUUUCUAGGAAGCAUGGGUAGCCCUCACUUCCUCUGCCUGGAUCUGCACAUCUGCACACCUAGAGUUCCGGGAAGACCAGGCAGCCCAUGAGCUGGGAGAUGCACACGCCUCAGGUCGUGUCCGAAGGCAAUCUGUGGUGAGCAGCUGCUCUGCCAAAUCCACCAGGAGCAGGUGAACACAGGAGCUGAAUCCCACUUCAUGCCUCACUCAGGGCAGCCCAGGUUGCUGCUGUGUGAUAAUACACAUCAUAACCGCAAUAAUAACACAGAGAAUCCUAUUUAAUAAUAACAAACGUGAUAAACACUGUCAAGACGGAUGACAGAUGUUGCCCCUCCAUGAAGAGCUGAGCGCAUAGCACAUGUCGAGCCAGCGCUUCAUUUGCAUCAGUGUCCCAAAGUGUGGCUGCAUCAAAGUCACCUGGAGGGCUGAUUACAACACAGGCUGCCUCGGCCCAGUCCCAGAGAUUCCGAUUCAGCAGGUCCAGGGCAGGGCCUGAGGAUUUGCCUUUUUAACCAGUUCCCAGGUCAUGCUGGUGUUGCUGACUCAGGGAUGACACUUUGAGAACCACUGAUCUACGUUAAUUAAUUUAAUCCUUAUAACAAGCCUAUAAACUAGCAGUGCUUAUUAUCUCCAUUUUACAGCUGAGAUAGCUCAGACAGAGAGGGUUUAAGCAACUUGCCAGUACUCCAAUCCCAGUGGGUCUGCCUCUGAAGCGUGUGCCUGGGACCACAUGCUCCAUGGGACAUAAAUACCACAUGAGGUCAGCAAAAGUGGCUGUUCCCUGAAGCAUCAUCUUAGAGCCCCCAGACAUGUGGGGUUUAAAGAGGCCUCUAAAAGCCAGCCUUGGUCAUGGUCUUUGAGAACUACCUUAGAGUUCCCAUAAUCUCUCAGUGUUCCCAUAAUCCCUCAGUGUGCCCAUAACUCCUUAGAGUUCCCAUAAUCCCUCAGUGUUCCCAUAAUCCUUGAGUGUUUUCAUAAUCGCUUAGUGUUCCCAUCAUCUCUGUGUUCCCAUAAUCCCUGAGUGUUUUCAUAACUCCUUAGAGUUCCCAUAAUCCCUCAGUGUUCCCAUAAUCCCUCAGUGUUCCCAUAAUCCCUGCGUGUUUUUCAUAAACCUUUGGAGUUCCCAUAAUCCCUGAGUGUUCUCAUAAUCGUAACAAGCUUUCUCCUCACGUGGAGCCCGCAGGGCACCAAGUAAUAGCAGUGAUAGUUAAUGGGCUUGCAGGUGUACUUGAUUGCCCAGUAAUAAACUUGAAUCCUCUGACACACUUGUUUCAUGGGCAUGACUGCUCGUUUUGGCAAGAGGGCUCAGAUAGUACCCUUUGCUGAGAGAAAUGAAAGGCACCAAAUGUUAUUUCUAUUCUGCUUUACCUAAAAGCAAUUAUUUUCAACUUCCUAUUCUCAUACAAAAUAAGUUUUCAGAGCACAAUAACUAGCCAUUGCUAAUGAAUUUAAAUAUUGGUCUAUUUCAUACAUGUAUUUUCAUUCUAAGUGUCUUAUGUUUUAAUUUAAAAAAUCUUGAAUGAUAGAUUUAAUCUCAACAUCAGCCUUAAACCACCUGGAGGAGAACUUAAAAUUUACAAGCGAGUACAUGGAAUGGGUCCUUUACAAUUUAAGUGUUUUAGAACUUGUUGGAGUCCCCAGAGUGCCCUUCAUCCGCUACACAUCUGCACUAGGUGCUUACAGACGUUUCUUGUUUAUCAUUAAACUUUGUUUUCAGACUCUGAAUCUGGUCUCCAACCAGAGGACAAUCUCUCCAUUAUCUCUAAAGGAAUACAACUCUAAAAUUACCCCAGCGAUAGAGCCCAGUUGCUCUGUGUAGCCCACCUUGGAAGCAAAGGCAUUCUUUUAGCCAGGCAACUAUUUUAAUCUGCAAAAGAGGCACAUAGGUGAGUAUGCCUAUGAUACCCUGCUAUGGUUUGGAUAUUUGUCCCUCCAAACCUCGUGUUGAAAUUUGGUCCCCAGUGUUGGAGGUGGGGCCUAAUGGGAGGUGACUGAGUCAUGGGGGUAGAUCCCUCAUGAAUAAGAAUAAUGCCCCCACUGUGGCUGAGUUCUCACUCUUAGUUUCCUUGGGACCUGCUAAUUAAAGAGAGCCUGGUCCCUCUCCCCUCUCUCUCUGGCUUUCUCUCUCACCGUGUGAUCUCUGCACAUACUGGCUCCCUUCUGCCUUCAGCCAUGAGUAGAAGCAGCCUGAGGCCCUCACCAGAUGCAAAUGCUCAGUUUUGAAUUUUUCAACCAUCAGAAUUGUGAGCCAAAUAAAUCUUUUUUCUUUAUAAAUUUCCCAGCCUCAGGUAUUCUUUUAUAGGAACACAAGACAGACUAAGACACACCCAGAUGUAAUAAAGAGACACAAUAAGCCUCCCCAAACUCAAUUGCUUCAUUCUCACACUGUCUGGACUGCAGGUUACCCAGGCUGGCUGACAUAGGCUGGGUGGGGCUGAGCAGCUGAAGGCAGCAGCCACCUGGGGUCUUGCUCUUCUCACGGUGGAUGAGUGGAUCACAUGCCAGGCGCCUGCUGCCUCAUGCUCACUAAAUUCACUACGCCAAGCUAUGCUCAUGGCAGAGCCUUUUUCAAAGGACCAAAGAAGUAUAUGCUCCCUCAGUGGAAGGAGGAAGAGAAUGUUUACUGAACAAUAAUCUACCCUGUCAAACUUACCAUGUCUUACAGUUCCAUGAAAAAAAAAAUUGAUCAGUUCAAUGAGAAAUAAAUUAAACUGGUAAUUUGCAUAGUUUAACUUACUUAAUAGCUGCUUUCUUGCUGGAGAAAGCUAGCCCUAGGAUGAUGAUGUUGUUGAACAAUGGCAGUUUUAAUAUUUUUCCAUUUGAUUCACAGGAGUGAGCGAAUCCCUGAAGCAGACAGUGUGUGUUCUACAGAGGGCCUUUCAGUCUCUAUUUACCGACUUUGUUUUACCGUAAUUGGGAUACACAUGUUUUGGCUUCAGGACACCAAAGCUGAGAAUUGUUUUGGGCAAAAACAUCUAUGAUGUUACUUCAAAAGGCAAAUCAUACCACCUGUUUGAAAAGAGCUAGAUAAAACAAUUUGUGUUGGGCUAAUUUUUUUCAUUUUGAGCUUCUUUUAGGGCUUGGGCUUAGGCUGUGAUCAGCCUAAGAUUGGCUGGGUUGAAAGACAUCAUCAUUUUCCCUGUUGCAGGUGCAGGAUAUUAGGGUGGGCCCCGUCUCUGACUGCUCAGCUCAGCCUCCACCGCUGAGAGUUUGAUGGCCCCGAGCCUGGAACACCAUGAGAAAAAGGGAGUGAAAAGGAGUGUAUCUCCUGGAUGUAGGGAGGCUCCGAAAGGCCUGGAGCUUUUCUGUGUUGUGCCUGAUCCCAGAGUCACUGGGACAAUGGCCUUUAGCUUUCUUCUGGGGUCACGGACCCCUUUGAGAUUCUCAUGGAAGCUAUGAUUUCCCUUACAGAAAAAUACACACACACACACACACACACACACACUUUACCACUCUAAUAUCACCUUGAAUCUCAUAUUGUUUUCUAGAAUUUUAGAUGCAAAUCGACAUAGACACGCAGACUUUUUUGAGUAUAGGUAUAUAUCAUCUCAAGUUCCUGCUUAGAUUUGCCAAGGUUUAUUGAUUUCUGACCCCAUUGCUGGGGUUCAUUUUUUGCUUUGUUAGGUAUGUCCUUGAGCAUUUCAUUCAGCAAAGGUUCCUACGGGUAGUAGUUCUUGUCUGCAUAUGUCUGAAAGUGCCUUAAUCUCAGCUCCAUCUUGAAUAAGAAAUCAGGUGGGCGUGGCCUGCUCAGUGAGAAGCUCUUUUUCCCCAGCACCAUGCAUGUGUUACUCCACUGUCUCCUGGAGUGGAAUGAGCUCAAAGAAAUGAGCUCCUAUUUCUUUGGUCUGUCUCAUGUGGGUUUCUUCCAUCGGCUGAAUUUCCUUGCGCUGUCUGUUACUUCUGUUUGAGAGCUUGUAGUUUUUGGAGUUUCCUCCUGUGUGCAUCUCUCUCAGCUUCCUUUCGGGGCUGUUUCAUGGUUUCUGGUUGGUGGAGAGAUUUUGGUUGCUCUGAGGAGCAGGAGGCACGGACACUCCUUCAGGAUGGGUUGUGCCAACCUUGAUCUGCUCCUGACUCCCAGAGAGCUCUGUGGUCUUGACCUCAAUCUGUUUGGGCUCAUAGUGAGGUUCUUGUUUUGAGUGAGCCUGUGUACUUUAAAAUAUGUGUAAGAUAUUUAAUCUCUUAUGUCAAUGUGUUUGGAGAGAGGUGGAGAAGAUGAGGUUCUCUGUGUGCUUUCUUCCUGCUGAAAGGUGGCCCUCCAAAAGAUGUGUCCGUGGAAGUCUGAGGCGGGCAGAUCACUUGACGUCAGGAGUUCAAGACCAGCCUGGCCAACAUGGUGAAACCCUGUUUCUACUAAAAAUACAAAAAAAUUAGCCAGGUGUGGUGAUGUGCACCUGUAAUCCCAGUUACACAGGAGGCUGAGGCAGGAGAAUCACUUGAACCCGGGAGGUGGAGGCUGCAGUGGGCCGGGAUCAUGCCACUACACUCCAGCAUGGGCGACAGAGCCAGACUCCAUCCCCGCCCCCAAAAAAGAUAUGUUCACAUCCUAACCCCUAGAUCCUGUGAAUGUGGUCUUAUUUGGAAAAAGGAUCUUUCUUUGCAGAUGUAAUUAGUUAACGAUUUUCUGACAAGAUCUUCCUAGAUUAUUCAGGCAGGCCCUAAAUGCAGUGUCAAGUGUUCUUAGAACAGACAGGAGAGCAGGAGACACUCACACAGAAGCAGAGGCCUUGUGAUGAUGGAGGUGGAGACUGGAGGGAAGCAGCCAGCAGCCAGGAACACCUGGAGCCGCUAGAAGCUGGGAGAGGCAAGGGCAGAUCCUCCCCAGAGCCUUUGGAGGAAGUGUGGCCCGGCUGGCACCGCGAUUUCAGGUUUCUGGCCUCCAGAACUGUGAGAGGAUAAAUUUCUGUUGUUUCAAGACCCCAGUUCGUGGUCAUUUGUUACAGUAGCCCCAGGCUGCGAUCAACUUUAAUGAACAUUUAUUGAUUUUAUUUUUAUUAUUUUUUUACUUUUAGGUUCAAGGGUACAUAUGCAGGUUUCUUACACAGGCAUACGGCUCUCUUCUGGUACCCACAGUCUCCAAGCCUUGGCCAGAGAGGAAUGGCCUGCCUUUCCUUUUUGGAAACGUCUCCAAUCAAUCUCUUGUGUAUCGCAUUAUCUUUCCGGUGUUCUGCCUUUCUCCAAACGCCCCCGUGCGUUUUCAAGGUUUAUAGACGCGUAUCUUGAACUUUAGGUGUUGAGAUUUUUUGGUCCAUCUUUGACAACACAUCUGCAGGAAGAAAGCAUGAGUUGAUCAAAAAGGAAGAAAAAGCUACAAAAUCUAGGGCAUUAUUAUUCAGAGGACAUUUUCUGGUAGAGUUAGGAUAAAUUUUUUCCAAUAAAUUAAUUUUACAGACUUUUAAGACAGAGCUUUUAGAUUAAUGGAAAUAUUACUUAAAUUUAAGUUCAGCCCAUUAAGUCAUCAAUCAUAUUGUUGUUGUAACAUCAUGUAUUUCAUGUUCAUGACACACACAAAUAAAAAAGAAACGACCCAAGAAAGUGAUUUGCUUUACUGCUUGGGGUGACCAGAGCCAAAUGCUUGAAAAGAUUUUUACCGUUAGUGGCUAAAGCUGAGAGCUUUAACCUGGAGCUGCCGCGAGCUGCCAGAGCAGAGGAUGAAGCACGGUCGGAUGAAGAUCUGCAGCCUCAGGAUGAAGAUCUGCAGCCUCAGGAUGAAGAUCUGCAGCCUCAGGCGACGCUCUUCAGUGCGACAAGGAGGAAGCAACUUCCAUAUUCCCCACACGGAUUCUGCUCAGUUUGUGCUACCCCUGAGUCUGGAAGACUGACAUUUUCUCCGCUCUCAACUUCCUCUGCUCUUUCCCAUGCAGUUCCGGUUCUCACUGUGGCCUUCAGCUCAACCUAGUGCUUUCCUGCACAUUAGAAAAGCCAUGCCCAUUUUGGAUGGGUGAACUGCAAAAUGCUUCCUGCUCUGGGUGGUCAUAGACCCGUUGUAAUAGUCCGUUCUCACACUGCUAAUUACCCACGGAGACUGGGUAAUUUACGAAGAAAAGAGGUUUAGUUGACUCACAGUUUCACAGGCUGUACAGGAAGCAUGGCUGGGAGGCCUCAGAAAACUAACAAUCAUGGCGGAAGGCGAAGGGGAAGCAAGCACCUUCACGUGGGGGCAGGAGAGAGAGAGAGAGAGAGUGAGAGAGAGUGAAGGGAGAAGUGCCACACACUUUUAACCAUCAGUUCUCGUGAGAACUCCUCACUAUCACAAGAACAGCAAGGGGGAAAUCCACCCCAUGGUCCAAUCAACCCCCACUAGGCCCCUCCUCCAAUUCCAUAUGAGAUUUGAGCAAGGACACAAGUCCAAACCAUAUCACCCAUAUUGUUUUGGACUGAAUGUUUGUGUCCCCACAAAAUACACAUAUUGAAAUCCUAACCCCCCCAGGUGAUGGUAUUAGGAUGGUUUUAGGGAUCACUUUUGGGAGGUGACCAGGUCAUGAAGCUUCAUCAGGGAGUUUAUACGAGAGCCUCCAGAGAGCUCCCUGGCCCUCUUUCUGACAUGUGAGGACACAGUGACAAAAUGGCCUUCUAUGAACCAGGAUGUGGGCUCUCACCAGACCCCAAUCAUGCUGGCACCCUGAUCUUGAACUUCCAGUCCCCUGACUGUGAGAAGUAAGUUUCUGGUGUUCAUAAGCCACGACCUAUUCAGUUACAGCAGCCAGAAUGGACAAAGCCACAUAUGCCCAGAGCCCAACCAGGGGUACAGGGUGGAUCUGCACCCCAUUUAGGCCCGUGACUGAGUGACUUUGUGCAGCACAGAUGCAGCACACUCAUCUUGGUGUCCCUGCCCCGCCAUCUCCACUGCCCCUUCCUCAAUCCGUUGGGCUCUUUGCUCCUCGCUGGCCUGUCCACCACUGGACCCUCUGCUCCACCUUUCAAAUGUGCUCCUUGUGGUGCCCUUGAGUCCUUUUCCUCCUUUUCUACACAUCCCGUGGGUGUGUAGACAAGACUGCUCUCAGGUGUGCCAUGGGCCCCUCAGCCUGGUAUAUGUACCUGGCAGGAUGGCGCUGCCACCCCCAGGACGCCUUUUCCAAGAGCUCCAUAGGUGACUGUUGAAUGGAUGAACGCGUUGCUUCCUGAUGUUAAAACUUUAGCCUAGAGCUGCUUCCUUGUAAGUUGGGCCUAAAGGUUUCUUUGUACAUAGUGAGCUAUCACUUAGGUGGACAUGUAAACAGACUGUAAUUAAUCUACUCUUGUACCAGUCCCUGAGUUUUGGCCAAUCGCAGGUGGUCAACCACUCAAACAAGGCAAACGCCCAGCUGUCACUAAUCCGGCUGUGUCUGCACCUGACUUCCGUUUUCUGGGCAUCACUUUCCUUUCUCUGUUCAUAAAUCCUCUCCCACUCUGUGGCAGCACGAGAGUCUCUCUGACCCUAUUCUGGUUCGGGGGUUGCCCGAUUUGCGAAUCAUUCCUUGCUCAAUUAAACUCUGUUAAAUUUAAUUUGUCUAAAGUUUUUCUUUUAACACUGCCAACCAACCCAUCAAUCUCCCGUGGCUUUCUCUCCCUGCUGCUGCGUGGUGCUGAGGAAGUUGUCAUACAGACGAGCUGACAAUCCAAAUUCCUGCAGGAAGACGUGGCCUGCCUGCCUCAGUGCUGCUGGGACAACCUUUGACUCAUUUCAAAAUGACCUCUUCUUGGCCAGGCGCAGUGGCUCUCGACUGUAAUCCUAGCACUUUGGGAGGUCGAGGUGGGUGGAUCACCCGAGGUCAGGAGUUCAAGACCAGCCUGGCCAACAAUGUUGAAACCCCAUCACUACUAAAAAUACAAAAA